rnacentral:rRNA from 1 species
GUCGUACGGCAACACAGUUGCGAGCAAUCGCAACCGGUGGCGAGUGGCGCACGGGUGAGUAACGCGUAUGUAACCUACCCUUCUCCGGGACAUAACUCCGCGAAAGCGGUGCUAAUAUCCCAUACCAACUCAUCAAGACAUCUUCUUGAGUUGAAAGCAGCAAUGCGGUGAAGGAUGGGCAUGCGUCCCAUUAGCUGGUUGGUGAGGUAAUGGCCCACCAAGGCUACGAUGGGUAGGGGUUCUGAGAGGAAAGCCCCCCACACUGGUACUGAGACACGGACCAGACUCCUACGGGAGGCAGCAGUAAGGAAUAUUGGGCAAUGGUCGAAAGACUGACCCAGCCAUGCCGCGUGCAGGAUGAAGGCCCUAUGGGUUGUAAACUGCUUUUAGCCGGGAAUAAACACCCGUUUUAUAACGGGCCCGAAGGUACCGGCUGAAUAAGCAUCGGCUAACUCCGUGCCAGCAGCCGCGGUAAUACGGAGGAUGCAAGCGUUAUCCGGAUUCACUGGGUUUAAAGGGUGCGCAGGCGGACAUUUAAGUCAGGGGUGAAAUCCUACAGCUUAACUGUAGAACUGCCCUUGAUACUGAAUGCCUAGAGUAAAGCUGAAGUGGGCGGAAUGUGUUGUGUAGCGGUGAAAUGCUUAGAUAUAACACAGAACACCAAUCGCGAAGGCAGCUCACUAAACUUUAACUGACGCUCAUGCACGAAAGCGUGGGGAGCAAACAGGAUUAGAUA